UUGGAGAUAAGCGGACUCGAACCGCUGACAUCCGCC
rnacentral:tRNA from 2 species